AAUAAGCGGAGGAAAAGAAACCAACAGGGAUUCCCUUAGUAACGGCGAGUGAAUUGGGAAGAGGCCAGCGCCAAAUUCCAUGCUUGCAAGGGCAUUGGAAGAUGUGGUGUUAAGGAGGGAACGUUCUGGAAGAUGACGAUGCAGCAAGUCCCCAUGACCGGGGCUUCAGCCCAGAGUGGGUGCAAGGCCUAUAGCUGCUUGGUCGGUUCUGGAAGUGACCUCUUUCGAGUCAGGUUGCUUGAGAGUGCAGCCCUAAUCAGGUGGUAGACUCCAUCCAAGCCUAAAUAUGUCCGUGAGUCCGAUAGCAAACAAGUACCGUGAGGGAAAAUUGAAAAGGACUUUGAAGAGAGAGUUCAAGAGUACGUGAAACUGCUCAGAGGUAAACGGGUGAGAACACGAAAUCCGGUGGCCGGAGGAUUCAGCCUGGAAGAAAAUUGGCUCGCCUGGUUUACUUGGGGUUCCGAAAGCGGGCCUUGCCAUGSGUUAAUCUGCUUUUACUCUGCCCAGUGCAUUUCUUCCGGCUCGAAAGGACGCCGCAGCCGGUUAGGUCUUAGUAAAAAGACGGCCUUGCGCGUGGCAUAUGUGAAGUUGGCUGGUGACGGGGCACGCCCUCGCUGCCAGUUCUAGCUUGCCAUUGCUGGCUCGUCACCUGACCGAGGAAUCUGAAGGUUGCAUGAAGGCAACCACUGCGUCUCCUCUACCCGAAGAUGUGGAAAGGACGACAGACACGCCCUGGUGAUGAAGAACGACGCGCCAGCCGUGGUCGGCAUGCCAGAGAUGUCGUUAGUUGCCUCUCGUGCUGCGGGAGUCUCUGGAGGCUAGCGGUGAUUUUAUCGGUCACUCACCCGCCCC
rnacentral:rRNA from 1 species